GAUGAACGCUAGCGGCAGGCCUAAUACAUGCCAGUCGGACGGGAUGCCGGUGCUUGCUUCUGAUGAGAGUGGCGCACGGGUGCGUAACACGUAUGUAACCUACCUUUAUCAGUGUGAUAGCCCCUCGAAAGAGAGAUUAAGCUCGCAUAAAAUCACAGCACAUCCUUGUGUAGUGAUCAAAUAUUUAUAGGAUAAAGAUGGGCAUGCGGGACAUUAACUAGAUGGUUGGGUAAGGGCCCACCAUGGCGUUGAUGGUUAGGGGAUCUAAGGGGAUGGCCCCUCACACUGGGACUGGCAAACUGGCCAGUGUCCUACGGGCGGCAGUAGUACGGAAUGUAGGUCAAUGGGAGGUAGCCUAAACCACCCAAGCCGGAUGCAGGAAGGCCGCCCUCCGGAUGGUAAACUGCUUUUAGUCAGGAAUAAACCCAGAUACGUGUAUCUGGCUGAAUGUACUGUAAGAAGAAGGAUCGGCUAACUCCGUG
rnacentral:rRNA from 1 species